rnacentral:rRNA from 1 species
AUACGGAGGGAGCGAGCGUUAAUCGGAAUUACUGGGUGUAAAGGGUGCGUAGGCGGGUAUGUAAGUCAGAUGUGAAAUACCGGGGCUCAACUCCGGGGCUGCAUUUGAAACUGUAUAUCUUGAGUGCAGGAGAGGAAAGCGGAAUUCCUAGUGUAGCGGUGAAAUGCGUAGAGAUUAGGAGGAACACCAGUGGCGAAGGCGGCUUUCUGGACUGUAACUGACGCUGAGGCACGAAAGCGUGGGGAGCGAACAGGAUUAGAAACCCCAGUAGUCC